AAACGUCAGCUUUUGUGCUCCUGAGAUGCUGCUUGGCCUGCUGUGUUCAUCCACCUUCACACUUUAUUAUCAGAGACUCUCGGACCUGCGUUUGCAGCAAACGUGAAAACAACUGCGGGUCUCAAGCAGCGAUCGGCCCCGCUAACCCCCGCCAUCUUUAUUGGGGGAUAUUAAUGCACAAUAAUUUGCAGACCGGGAUCUCAAAAUAAGUCCUGACAGUCAGAGGAAUCAUCAGGAUCUGAAUAUCAUUGGCAUAUAAUUGUGGAAGGAUAAAGGGUGAUUUGCGAUUAGAGACUUCAAAUGAAACCACACCCAGAUCUGACAGUCGGUCUGUUUAUCACAACCUAAUCAUCACAGAAUUUUGAACAUUGAAGGAAGAAGCACACAUCUUCUGUACGUGGGAGAGUCUGUGAAAUUCACCUGAAAUGUCCAAACGCCAGCACAGUCACACUGGGGACAGAAUGUGGAAAUGUACGGAUUGUGGGAAGGGAUUUCUUUACCCAUCCCAGCUGGAAAAUCACCGACGCAGACACACUGGGGACAGACCAUUCACCUGCUCUGAUUGACGGAAGGGGUUUACUCAGUCAUCCAGCCUGCUGAGACACCAACGACUUCACACGGGGGAGAGACCAUUCACCUGCUCUAUCUGUGGGACAGGAUUCACUCAGUCAUCUAAACUGCUGGAACACCAGGGAAUUCACACUGGGGAGAGACCAUUCGCUUGUUCUGAAUGUGGGAAAGGAUUCGCACACUUAUGUAGAUUGCUGGAGCACCAGCGAGUUCAUACCAAAGAGAAACCAUUCGCCUGCUCUAAUUGUGGGAAGGGAUUUACCAAAUUAUACAACCUGAUGAGACAUCAGCAGAUUCACACUGCGGAGAAAGCAUUCACCUGCUCUGAAUGUGGGAAAGGAUUCAAUUCGUCAGCCAACCUGCUGAAACACCAGCAAGUUCACACUGGGGAAAUACCAUACACCUGCUCUGAAUGUGGAAAAGGAUUCAUUCACUCAAGCAGACUGCUGGAGCACCAGCGAGUUCAUACCAGGGAGCAACCAUUCACCUGCUCUGAUUAUGGGAAGGAAUUUACCAAAUUGUACAAUCUGCGGAGACACCAGCGAGUUCACACUGGGGAGAAAGAUUCACUCAGUAAACUUGCAUGCUGAAACAACAGCCUGUUCAUUCCAUGGAGACACCUUUCACUUGUUCGGUAUGUGGGAAGGGAUUUACUCUGUCAUUGAAACUGUUAACACACCAGUGAAAUGACACUGGGUGGAUCCUGUUCACUUGCUGUGGUUGUGGAAAAGGCUUUGCUGUUUGCUAAUAUACCAGCAACUUCAUAAGGAACCACAGGUGAAGGGUUUUGCUUUUACUCACACCAAGGAAGGAACCUCGGUCAUUUUGCCAUUUGUAUUGACAUUAUUAAACCCUGGUCCAUGACAGGGGUGAUAUUGUAGAUAAAAUGGUGAUACAGUUAUCUAUCAGAAGAAUAGGUUGUGGAAAUGAUCACAAUAUUGCUGUACAUCAUACUUACACUGGGUAAAGACUGUCCACCAUAAAAAUACAAAUCAGCUUUUUGUCAAAACUGUGUUGCAUCAAAUCUUUGUCUAAUCCUGAAUGCCUUAGAGAUAAGAUAAUCAGUAUCCUUUACUGGGAAAAAGCAUAUCCAGAGUGAGAUAUAGCCAGAAAUGCUGGGAAUUUAGUUCCAAGUGCUGUUAGGGCAUGUGCAAAUUAAUUUGGCAGGGGGUGGGAUCCAGAGAGAAAAGAGAAGAAUCAAUAAAUGCGUCAGGAAGGCAUCGACAUGACAAGCCAGUUCAGGUACAAGGGAGUUUGACAUGAUUGAAUGGCAUUGAUAAUAAUGCUAAGACUUUGAUGGACAAGACAGAUGAGUUCAGAAUACAAAUUAAAAAUAGGGUGUGAUGACAUUGCUGUAACUCAUAUAUGUUUGAGAGAAUGGCAGGAUUGGAACGCAUAGGUACUAAUGACAGUCUUCAUGCAGGGUCUUCGUGCGAUAUAGCGAAGGAGACAAAAGAAGAAGAGGUGUGCCAGUUGUGUUUAGGGAAUUUAUUCGGGCGAUAAGGAGAGAUGACAUUCUUAGAAAACUCCUUUAAUAAACCUGGACAGGUAAAGCUAGAAGCACAGGUAAGGAGGCAAAUUUCAGGAAUUGUAAAAGUGCUAAGGUCACGAUAGCGGGGUAUUUCAACUUGCCCAAAAUUCACAGUGGUUAUCACAGUGUGAAAGGUUUCAAGGAACUUCUAAAAUCGAUCCAGCACAGCUUUCGAAGCCAGUGUGCAAAAGUCCCAACAAGGAAUGGGUAGGUCCUGUACUUAACCACUUGUCACCUUUUGUUGCCUAAAGUUGAAGGAUCAACUGGGGAGUAUUUUGCAGAUAGUUGCCAUAACUCUUCCAAAAAUAUUUGGGAUUGCUCUGGAAAAGGACAAGGAUAGGCCUCAAAUGAAAGUUCUAAAUUGUUUGAUUUUUUUUAAUCAGACCAGGUAAUAAUUUGGCUGGAGUGUGCAGGAAGCAGAUUCUUUCAGGUAAAUGUGCAAGAGGGAAUUUAAAUGAGUAGAUGUGGAGAGCUAUAAGGGGAAAAUGAA